UAUUUCUUGUCCUGCCUAUGCACCACCUGUCUGUACUUGUAUAUCACAUUGCAUUUUUCUGCUACUUUUCUGGUUGGACGCA